rnacentral:rRNA from 1 species
UGGGGAAUAUUGCACAAUGGGCGAAAGCCUGAUGCAGCGACGCCGCGUGCGGGAUGAAGGCCUUCGGGUUGUAAACCGCUUUUAAUUGGGAGCAAGCGAGAGUGAGUGUACCUUUUGAAUAAGCACCGGCUAACUACGUGCCAGCAGCCGCGGUAAUACGUAGGGUGCAAGCGUUAUCCGGAAUUAUUGGGCGUAAAGAGCUCGUAGGCGGUUUGUCACGCCUGGUGUGAAAGUCCAUCGCUUAACGGUGGAUCUGCGCCGGGUACGGGCAGGCUAGAGUGCAGUAGGGGAGAUUGGAAUUCCCGGUGUAACGGUGGAAUGUGUAGAUAUCGGGAAGAACACCAAUGGCGAAGGCAGAUCUCUGGGCUGUUACUGACGCUGAGGAGCGAAAGCAUGGGGAGCGAACAGGAUUAGAUACCCUGGUAGUCCAUGCCGUAAAACGGUGGAUGCUGGAUGUGGGACCCUUCCACGGGUUCCGUGUCGGAGCUAACGCGUUAAGCAUCCCGCCUGGGGAGUACGGCCGCAAGGCUAAAAACUCUAAAGUGAAUUGAC